AGAGUUUGAUCCUGGCUCAGGAUGAACGCUGGCGGUCUGCUUAACACAUGCAAGUCGAACGGGAUCCUUCGGGAUUUAGUGGCGGACGGGUGAGUAACGCGUGAGAAUCUGCCCUUAGGUUGGGGACAACAGCUGGAAACGACUGCUAAUACCUAAUGUGCCGAGAGGUGAAAGGUUAACUGCCUGGGGAUGAGCUCGCGUCUGAUUAGCUAGUUGGAGUGGUAACGGCACACCAAGGCGACGAUCAGUAGCUGGUCUGAGAGGAUGAUCAGCCACACUGGGACUGAGACACGGCCCAGACUCCUACGGGAGGCAGCAGUGGGGAAUUUUCCGCAAUGGGCGAAAGCCUGACGGAGCAAGACCGCGUGAGGGAGGAAGGCCUAUUGGUUGUAAACCUCUUUUGAUAGGGAAGAACACAAUGACGGUACCUAUCGAAUCAGCAUCGGCUAACUCCGUGCCAGCAGCCGCGGUAAUACGGAGGAUGCAAGCGUUAUCCGGAUUUAUUGGGCGUAAAGCGUCCGUAGGUGGCAAACCAAGUCAGUUGUUAAAGCGUAGAGCUUAACUCUAUAAGGGCAAUUGAAACUGGUUAGCUAGAGUGCGAUAGGGGCAAGGGGAAUUCCCAGUGUAGCGGUGAAAUGCGUAGAUAUUGGGAAGAACAUCGGUGGCGAAGGCGCCUUGCUGGGUCUGCACUGACACUGAGGGACGAAAGCUAGGGGAGCGAAAGGGAUUAGAUACCCCUGUAGUCCUAGCCGUAAACGA
rnacentral:rRNA from 1 species